GGUUGAUCCUGCCAGUAGUCAUAUGCUUGUCUUAAAGACUAAGCCAUGCAUGUCUAAGUAUAAAUAUUAUACAGUGAAACUGCGAAUGGCUCAUUAAAACAGUUAUAGUUUAUUCGAUAAUUUCUCCUACAUGGAUAACCGUAGUAAUUCUAGAGCUAAUACAUGCUGUCAAACCUGACUUCUUGGAAGGGUUGUAUUUAUUAGAUAUCCACUUGUCAACGGUGGAUGGAAGUGGGAUAUUGUGAGGAAGAAUGGAAAUAUGUUUUUUGAGUAUAUUAGUUUUCUAAAUACU
rnacentral:rRNA from 1 species